rnacentral:lncRNA from 1 species
UUGAAGGUCUUUUCAACCUGCAUUAAAUGGUCAGUGUAAAUGGAGCCUCAGGAAGUCUGGCGUAAUCCUGGAGUUGUGACAGUAUGGACAUGAGAAGGGCUUUUCUGGCAGACCUUAAGGCUCAAUGAGGAGUCCAGUAACACCCAACUCCUCCAAACUCAUUCUGGGGGACCCCAUUUCAGCAUUGUGCAGAAACGAGGAGAAGACACAGAGAAGACUGCGUUUGAUAAGGUCCAAAGACUCCAUCAAUUGUAAAAUAUGCAUUACAUUUUCAGUAUCAGAAACAGAAAAAAAACUGUAUAAACACCAGUGAUUCUAUGACACUCUGUUUUUACAUAUAUUUAUAAGGGGGGAAAGUGGUUCUAAGAAUUGAAGAAAUACAAUAUAUUCUCUUUUCAAUUAUUAACAAAAAUUGCUUUAACUCUAUUUGUCAUAUGUCUGUCUGUCUACAACAGGCCUCCACAUUUGCAGGAUUCACUUUUGUGGACUUGAUUAAUAUAUUCUUAUUAGGAAUCUCUAGAUCAUCCAGCAUCGCAAAGUAAAUAUGGUGACUACAGAGUUAUCCUGGAGACCAUAGAGAUUCCUAGAUUCUCUCAGGUCGAAGGUGUGGGGUUUUUUGAGGGGCGGGAUGCGCUCAUUUUGGGGUGAUCUAUUUAUCUCUCUAGCAAACUGAACUCAAAGUGCCAAGGUCCCACCACUAGCUUACUUCAGCAGGGGAGAGCAAAGGAGGGGGCUGAAUCUGUCCUUCCCAAUAGGUUCUGGCAAAAACAAACUACUGCAGAAUUCCCUAGUUUCUGUGUUUUCCUCAUUAAUAACUUCUGCCAAAAUGGAUGUUGCAUGGCCGGACAUGUCCCAGUUCUGAUCUCUGUGUUGGAAUGUGUGCAUAUGCAUCACUACUGCAUGUGUAAUUCUGCUUUGCCACUACUAGCAAAACGUGAUUGUAGUGCAUUCUCUAAUCACUCUCCCCAUAUGCACAGCAUAUGUCACUAAGAGGAUGCCAGCUAUUGUAUGUCUACUUAAAGCAGUUGAGUAGUUUUCAGCUACUGUACUGAACUCACUUUACUGGUUUGUUUGCCUCAGCUGAUAUUUCUCGUCCCUGUGAAAUCAAUUUUAUAUGACUUUUUAUUACUUUACUUUGCUUCUGGCAUUGUAUCACUGAGCUGCCCUGGGUUUGGAUUUCUUUUUAAUAUGCCUCUGAAG